AAAGCUUUAACUUCCCAUUAAUAGACACGUAUUAUUUAGCUAAAGCGGUUAUAUCUUUAGCUAUCUUUAACUUCCCAUUAAUAGACACGUAUUAUUUAGCUAAAGCGGUUAUAUCUUUAGCUAUCUUUAACUUCCCAUUAAUAGACACGUAUUAUUUUUAUCUCAUAGAUCUGUCAAAUGAGAUAAAUACUACGUGUAUGAGGUAAAUAAAUACCCCAUUAAUAGACACGUAUUAUUUUUAUCUCAUAGAUCUGUCAAAUAAGAUAAAUAACACGUGUAUGAGAUAAAUAAAUACCUCAUUAAUGGUCCAAAAAACACAUUAUAACAUUCUGGAAUAAAGCGUUUGGCAAAGCGGUCCAAAAAAACCGCUUUGCCGCUAUUUUCGCUUAAAGCGACGCUUAAGCGUCGCUUUUUGAACUAUGGUUUCAGUUAGGGCUAAAAGGAUAUUUCUAGUAUAUUCGCAAAGGAAGAAGAAAUGUCUAACUGACGCAUCCUCUUUUUGGCAUAAGAGGUAGAUUGCUUGGGUGUUCAAUCAAUUAAUCAUCAUCUUUAUUGCUUGGAAAAGGAAGGAAGGAAAUCCGACUUAACUCUUCGUAGCUUUAUGGAGAAUCUAGUGGACUUAUGUCAUAUGUGACCAGAUCCCUUCAACCAAGCUACUGAUUAGGCACAUCAUACAUGGGCAUGGAGCCCAUUUCUAUCUUAGAAGGUCCAUUCUCAUCUAGAUUCAAGGAGGGUAUAAAUGGAGGCAAGAGGAGAAGAAUCAACGACUUUUAUUUCAUUGAGUAUUCUCAAGGUAUUAUUCUCCCUUGCUCCUUAUUUCUCUUCAGAACUUUCCAUUCUGUUCUUGUUAUCAAUCUGGUGGAUUUUAGUGUACUGUAUCUUCUUCUGUGGAUUCAGAAGAUCAGCCUCGAAAUGGAUCCAGAUCUGAGAUCUACUCCAUCAAGUGGUAUCAGAUCUAGGGCACCCUUAAAACAUUAUUCAUAGCCACAAGAGUGUUCACUGACGAUGUAUUGUUCGCCGGAACAAUGCAAGGUAAAAAAGGAUCCAAAUCUUGUUGGGUAAAGAUGUCUGAUGAGGUCGUCACACAAGGUAGGAGUGAAUUUCAUAAAUGAGAAAUCCUUGGCCGACCUCACAUUGGCAAUAGACGACUUAGAAAGGACAUUCCACACUAUCAAGAGUGACGUUAGGUGUCAACAACAUCAUCAAUCUUUCCAAAUUCGAGGUGAACGACAUUACUAUGACCGCGAGCAUCGAAUAAUUAAUGAGAUGUACUGGACGAGAGACUAGUAUGAAGACUCUGAUUAUUUCCAUCAUCAAUUUCGUAGUUAUAUAAUAUAUGAUGAGACUUAGAAGGAUUCAUGAGCACAAUCAAUGCUAGAUCAAUUGAUUUUGAAUAGCAAUCGGGGUGAAAAAUAAUCGAAUUUUCAUCAGAUUUAGAAAGAACCCAUGAUGGAUGAAACAGCAAAGGAAGAAAAAGAGUCAAGAGAGAGAGAAAUGUGAGUACCUUGUUAAUUCAGAAAAAGAAAAACUACUUUAUUCUCUCCACUUAUUCCCUAUUUAUAUCCAUCUUAAUUAAUGGAGGUAAUUAAGAUGGAUUUAAUGGAAUUUAUUAGAGCACAUAAACCAUGGCUCUGUCUAAACAGAGCCCAUGGCUUAACUAACGCGCCUUGAUCCAGCCCAAUGAGAGUGACUCCUCUAUCACUACAAGAAGAAUCGCGAGGUGGAUUAUAUCACGAUAUGGGAAGAUAUCGGACUGGAGGAUAAUCAAGCAAGAAAAUCACGAUCUGGGCACGGAAAUUAUGAUCGGCAAGAAACGCGAUGUGGGGAAAUCAAGUUUUGAGGAGUACAUUUGUUGGGAGUCGGCGAGGGUCUGAUCGAAGGAGAUGAAAUCUGUAAAUCAGGAGAACAGAACGAACGCAAGAGGAUCUUCGUUGUUACCUCUAAAUCAACAAUCAAGCCAACCGGUCAUGUCCACACGGAAAUCAAAAGCUGGAGAAAUCGCGAGCUGGGAAGUCAAGAGUUGGGAAAGCUGAUUUUUCUGAAGGAGAUGAAAAGGGACUUAAUGAUAGAGCUUGGCGAGCAAAGAAAAGUAGUGUAAACUUCUUGGAGCUAUGGCUUAUUGUGCACACCAACAAUUGUCUCAGUGUUUUCCGAAGAUUGUACCAAAAUUGACAGAAGUUCUGACUAAUCCACAAAAUUCCAUAUCCUAAAAUUUAAAAGUGUAAAAAAAAAUCCAGAAAUUUCUACCCUUGUGCCUACGCUGUUAAAAGAUCUAGAGGAUCUUAAUCAACAUAAAAAAAUUCUCUUGAUAUUUUUCUUCAGACUACAUUUAUUAAUUCAAUUGAUGCACUAUCAUUGGCACUGCUGGUUCCAAUUGGACAUAGAGAUUUGAGGGAGAGGAGUUCAGAAAUGAAAAAAAAAGAAUCUCAGAUAGAUGGAAAUAUGUGUUCUUUAGUAACAGAACGAAAAGAUAUGAUACCAAUAAACCAUAUAUUGGAUCGAUGCUUCCUGAAAUAAAAAAAGGUUCUUCUGGAUCCUAUACCAGAGGAUCGGUCAGCUGCAGCACGAGCUCUCGGAUCUCUUGUAAAAGGAAUGGGUGAGGGGAAUUUCUAAGAGCUGGUUCCAUGGCUGUUAGAUACACUAAAAGCUGACAGUGACAGCAGCAAUGUUGAAAGAUCUGGAGCAGUACAAGAACGGAGUGAGAUUUUGGAUUCUCUUGUGAUGCAGCCCUUAUAAGUGCUUGCAUUAAUAAUAGGCUCGAUUCUAAUCGAGCCUUGGACCAAGCCCAAUAAAAUGGCUUGGACUCUCAUGGUAGACUUUCCACUCUUAAACCAUGAGAGUAUAAAUAUGAGUGGACCCCAAAGGAGGAGUUAGUUGAGUUCUAUUUUUAACCAAGGUAUUUCUCAACGUCUUUCUUUCUUUUAUUUCUUUCUUUCUUUUAUUUCUUUUAUUUCUUUUUAUUUUCUACCGAUUCCUAUUAUUCUUGCCAUUUUCCACACCACGAUUAUCCUUGGAUUGGGAUAAUCUCACCUACCUCUAUCGAUCUUCAAGGGAGAACAUAAACCCUAGUUCUAUAAUUUACUGUUCCAUUGGUUUGGAACGCAAGUCUGGACAGAUUUCUCUCAUCCAUUGAAUCUGUCUCCUUCAACUGUUCAAGGCCUACAUCAUCUUGGUAAGGAAUAUUUUGAAAGUCUUCUUCCUGAAAUCAUUCGAAAUUGUUCUCAUCAAAAGGCUCCAGUACUAGAUGGUAAUCUAUCAUUGUUUAAGUACCUACCAAGAUCUUUGGGAGUAAUGUUCUUCCAGAACUAUUUGCAAAUUGCAACUGGUUUUACUUUUUUUUUAAAGCAAUUAAAUUUCAUUAAUAAUAAGGGCAAUGCCCACAUUACAUAGAGUCUAGAAAUAAAAAACAGAAAAAAAUGAGUAAAAAGUCCAUCGACUCUCUCCCAUUAGCUAUGUAGUCUAGUUUGUAGUAAUUAGAUACGCUGCCUCAGGAGGUUGGUUUCAAUCAUAUAUGUCUUCAAAGGGUGACAAUAGUUUUUCUUGUAACACUCCAGAUCAAAGGAGAGACUGAUGUCUUUAAUAACCUCCUUAAGGACUACCUCAGGAGGCCUACUAACGUGUUGUCUGUAUCUUUUAUUUCUUUCUGUCUAUAUAUGCUACGACAAAACCCAAUAGCAUUUCAUAGUAGCCUCCAAGAGUAUUCCAUAUAUUAACUGGUUUUACCUUCUUUUUUGAAAAAUUAAAAUUUUCAUUACUGAAAAAGAGGUCUGACAUAGCCCAAGAUUACAGAUUAUCUUCUUUAUUGGCUAAAAUGUGUUUUCAUACGGUUGAGUCCAUUGUGGGCAUAAUAAGAAUUAGGUCAAGAGACUGGUUCCUAAUAUAUAUAUCUUUCAUCCAUUUUGUUGGGAUGAAUGUCUCCAGACUCCAGAAUAAGGUAGUCCAUUUUAAUGAUGGGGAUUUUCUUAACCCCAAGACCACCCUCACUGCUAGGUAGUACCAUUUCGGGCCAUGGAUUACAUUGAAUGCCUUUAUCACUAUCCCAAAUGAAUUGGUAGGAUAAAUUCUUGACUUUUUACACUAUGGACAUAAGGGGUUCAUUGGACCCAAUUGUAUAUUUGCCUUCAACUAUUAAAUUUACAAAUUAGAUCCUCCACCCAUAUAAUAAGUAUUUCACACUCCAUUUUGCUAGAAGCUUUUCAGACUGAAUGAGUUUCUAGCAUUGGUCGUGAGAUUUCUUUUUGCCAGAUAUGAGGAGACCUAGGUAGAUUUGUUUUACUUGGAAGCCUAGAAUAUUUUGUAACUCUAAGUCGACCUCACACACCUUAGAAAAAGGUGUAGAGCUCUUAGUUUUAUUAAUCUAUAUUCUCUAGACCUGUGAUUCUGUGAAAGUAGAGAAUUCCUCAAGUAUGUUCAGAAUGCACCUAAGUGAUUUUGGGUUUGUUCUGGUGAACAUCAUCAGCAUGCAUAAACUUUGGGUUUGGCAAGUUUUGAGUAAGAAGAAUACAGAGUUGUCUUCUAUCCUAUCUUGUGCUUUUCCUAUAUGCAGAAAUAUAAAAUAACUCCAAUCUUUUUUUUUUUUUUUUGAAGCAAUUAAAUUUCAUUAGAAUAAGGUUAAUGCCAAGUUUACAAAAAUAGAGAAUAGAAAUAAAAAUAGAAGUAAAAAGAAAUGAGCAAAAAGCUCAUUGACUCUCUCCCAUUAGCAAUGUAGUCUAGUUAUACAGUAACUAGAUACGCUGCCUCAGGAGGUUGGUCUCCCAUACUUCCAUCAUAGAUGUCUCCAAAGGGUGACAACAGCUCUUCUUGUAAUACACUGAAUCAAAGGAGAAACUGAUGUCUUUAAUGACCUCCUUAAGGACUACCUCAGGAGGCCUGCUAAUAUGUUGUCUAUAUCUCUUAUUUCUCUCCGUCCAUAUAUGCCACGACAAGCAUCCAAUAGCAUUCCAUAUUAACCCCCAAGGGGAACUCCAAUCUUUACUUGUUCUUGAGAUCCAUGUAUAUAAAGUAUAAAUUAUGGAUGUGUUAUUACCACUGUAGCUUGCCACAAAGGCUUCUUCCAUAAUACUCAAAUUUGGCUUCCCUAAUGCCUUAUUAUUUUGAAAACAAGAUUGUAAAGUAAGAAUAUUCAAAUUAUGUUUCCCUACAUGCUUUCUACUUAACAAAAUGCUUACUCACUCCAAUCUUAUAAUAAAAUUCUAGCAAGAUAUAAAGCUAUGAAAUUUUUUUGGCUAAAGUCUGACAAGAUGGAAUUCUAUACACAAUCAUCCCAGUACAGUACAAGCAAGGUUUAAAAACCGGUUAACCGGUAACCGGUUCUGGCUUACCGGUUUUCCGGUUAGACCGGUUAACCAGUGGUUAACCGGUAGGGGUAUUUUCGUAAUUUUUUUUAAAAAACAGAAAUUAUGUUAUAUACUUAUAUAUCUAUUCCAUGUUUAUAUCCAUGUUUAUAUCCCUGUUUAUAUAAAUAAAAAUAUCAUAAACAAUAUAGUAAUUCAAAAUAGUCAUUCAAAAUAGUAAUGCAAAUAAGUAAUUAAUUCCAUAAUGUAAUUCAAAAUAUCCUAAGCCUAAGAUAUCUAUAAGGAGUAAGAUUUAAACUUAUUAAAAUAAAGCCUNNNNNNNNNNNNNNNNNNNNNNNNNNNNNNNNNNNNNNNNNNNNNNNNNNNNNNNNNNNNNNNNNNNNNNNNNNNNNNNNNNNNNNNNNNNNNNNNNNNNNNNNNNNNNNNNNNNNNNNNNNNNNNNNNNNGACGGGUAACUGGGUCGGGUACGGGUCAGACCCGACCCAUCGACCCAUUUACCCGUCCCAACUAACCGGUCACCGGUUAGCCAUAUUUUACCGGUCAGCCGGUUAACCGCCAGUUUUUAAACCUUGAGUAUAAGUGCAAUGGAAUUGCCCAUCAUUUUCCCCUCCUUUGCCAAAUCCCAAACUCCCAAUAGACCCAACACACACUUACCUUUGCACAUAUCUUUGUCUUCGCAUUCUUCACCCGAAUUUAAAACAAAAUGUUGACGAAUGCUUCCACGAAGUCUACUUCUGAUGUAGGAGAAGAUUUGGAUUAAGGGGAAGAACGAUUGAAGGAGGCAGCAAGAACUUCUUCAAUCGGGGGAUGGGUAGAACUUGGAAUCCACCAAGAAUUCUAAGUUGAGAUCUAGAAUUUAGAAAAGGAAAUAACAAAGCAAAGAAGGAGGGAAAUAACGGUAAUACCUCGAUUUGAUAAUAAUUCAAUAGUUGCCGCCUCCCAUCCUUGGCCUAUUAUAAUUAUACUCACAUCAAUGGAAAUAGGCAACCCAUUUGAUGUGAGUGUAGGGUUGUUUAGGAGGAACGUGGGUUGGCUUGACCAAGGUCAAGCCAACUAGGGCCCACUUGAUUAUUCUCAAUAUCUUCUACUGCAUCAUGCACCCCUUCUACAGGUGCAAUUGUCCUCAAUUGCUCUUUAGAUUCUGCUUCAGGGAAAUAUUUCCUUAUGUCACAGACAUUGCAAGAAUUUUCUGAUUCAGCCGGGCUCAUUUCUGAUUCAACACUUAAUAGUUUUUUAAAUUCUUUUUGGGCAGAAAACAGCAAAUUAGACUUUUCAGAUGUGUUUCCUUCAGGUGGAAGUGGAAGCAAUGCUACUUUCAGAUCAUCUACUUUAACUACAUACUAAAUGGUUCUGCCAUUGUAGUGUGCACUCACAUCAUACUGCCAUGGUCUUCAUAAUAGUACAUGGGCUACAUCCAUGUUAACCACAUCACAUACAAUUUCAUCAUUGUACCUUCUACCGAUGGACAAAGGUACUUUGCAACUUUUAUCCACAGCUACUGAAUUCCCACUGAGAAUCCACCAUACACUGUAAGGGUUUUUGUGUUCCUCCACCUCUAAACCUAAUUUCUUCACUGCUUUCCACGAAAUCAGAUUAUCAGUUGAUCCGUUAUCUAUUAUAAUAUCACAGACCCUUCCUUUAAUUGUGCCUCUAGUCCUGAAUAAAUUAUUCCUCUGACUUUGCAGCUCUUGUUGAGGUGUGUGCAUAGUUCAAAAAGCGGAAAAGCGGUCAGCUUUUCCAUUGACCGCUUUUUCAGCUUUGAGCGCUUUAGCGCGCUUAAAGCUGAAAAAGCGGUAGUGGCAUUAUUGUAAAUAAUUGUAAUUUUUUUAAAAAUAUAUAUAAACCUGUAAUUAUUCAAGACAUCAUCCAAAUUAUUUGAAAAACAUUUACAAGUCAUAUAACCUAAUCAUCUAGACGUGCACCAAUAUCUAUAUUAUCUCUUAAAAUUUCUUCCAUUUCAUUCAUGCAAUGAUGAAAUUGGGAUUCAAUUCCCAUAUCUCUAGGGUUUUGGAAAAAAUAAAAGUGAGAGUGAUAAAGGAAAUUAGGGUUUUAUUAGAAGGGUAUUGGGUUUAUAUAGUUAGAUAGAAAUUGGAGGGGUAGGAAGGGAAAUUAAAAUAGUUUAAGUUAUUUCACAUGGGUAAUGGGUUGUCCCAACCCAAUAACCCAACCCGACCAGAAAAAGCGUUUUAGAAAGCGGUCCUGGAGGACCGCUUUUCCGCUUUUUGAACUAUGGGUGUGUGGCAUAUUCUGUGGAUGAUACAUGACAAUCUCUGUCCUUCAUUUAGAGGUGCUUCAUCAUCAUACUCAUCAACUGAACUAUCUUCCUCCAUGGGUGCUUUUCUUGUCAUCGACUACAUGUACACUUCUUCUCUUUGGACAAGUGUUAGAUUUAUGACCCCAUUCACCACAUCUGUAACACUUAAUAUUAGUGUUUCUUUGAUCAUAGCCUCUAUUAAUUCUAACAUCUUGUUGACUUUCAGGAUUAAUUUUUCUCUCUUCAGGUGUUGGCAGUAUACCCUUCUCAUUGGGUGGGUUGAAUCUAAUGUUGGAUAGGUCUCCAACAUUUUUUAUAAAUUUUUCAGCCCUUCUGUCCAACUGAUCAGCCACUCUUAUUGUAUCCAUUAACGAGUAUUGUGGUUGCAUGAUUAAUUUUUCUUGAUGUUUGCUCUUGAGCCCUUGGACAAACCUUGCUAUUAACUGCUCCUCUGUUUCAUUCAGAUUAUUUCUCGAAGACAACCUAUGGAAUUCUUUAGAAUAUUCAGCCACACUUCUAUUCCCUUGACAGCAUUGAUGAUAUUGAGUGAAUAGAACGCCCUCGUAAUCACUAGGCAAAAAUCUCUGUUUUAGCAAUUUCUUCAAUUUCUGCCAAGUUCGAACUGGUCUCUGGUUGGUCCUUCUUCUAUUUGUAACUGUUUGAUCCCACCAGGCAGACGCUAGGCCCUUAAAUCUCAAGACCACCAGUUUCACUUGUUGGUCCUCAUCAAUGUCCAUGUAGUCAAAAAAUCUUUCUACCUCUAUGAUCCAUUCCAAAAAUUCUUCAAUGUGUGUUGUCCCAUUGAAAGAAGGUAGAUCCAUCUUUAAUUUACAUUGCCACUGGCCUCUAUUAAAACUUUCAGGAGCUUCAUCCCAAUAAUUAUUUUCGCCUAUUUGCUCCCUCCUCAUCCUUUGGUAGUGAGGUCGCCUUUGAGACGUUUGUUGUGAAGGCAUGUUUAACCCUUCAUAUUCAUCUUCAUAAAGUUCAGCAAAUCGAUCAUUGUAGUUUUGUCGCUCUCUUUGAAAAUUCUGAUUUGGUAGGGUCACUGACCGGCGUUGAAAUGGUUGCUCCGGAGGGUCAUCUCUAAGUGCUCUGUUCCGACGCUGAUAGAUAUGUAAUGGUUCUUCGGGUGGGCGACGUGGGUAGGCUCCCCCGGGCUGUAUUAUUCCCUGUCCAAACAUGUCAAAUUCUUUUCCGACGAUUGGCGGCCGGAAUUCGACGUUCACCGUUGGUUCAGUGGGUUGGAUAGUCCUUCUCAGUUCUAAAAAUCCAUCACGCAUCGCAGUUGUUAAGUCGGCGAUGGCUUUGUUCGUAGAUUCCCAUUCUUCUCUUGUAAUGCUCUCAUUUGCCAUUUUUUUUUACUAUUUCAGUAACACACUAUAAAUCAAAGUCCUGAUUAAAAGGUACCACAAUUACUGAAUUCAGAUGGCCAAAAAUCACAACGUAAGUCACUCUGAUUUUUCCGAAAAAAUUUGCACAACUUUCCACAGCAACUAGAUUCACUGAUGGUUGCAGACAGAUCGCAAGAUCGUAGACUCAAUUCACUCUCGCAAAAGAAAACCUCUGGAAUCAACGAUGACAAUAUCUGUAGAGAACAGAACAGACAGAAGACGCAGAGAACGGAACUACCUGAUGUACAAUAUUCUCGCAGAUGACAAUAUUCUCGACCAGAUGACAAUAUUCUCGGAAAACACGAGGCAGAACAGAACCACAAAAAACGGACGAGGCAGAGCACAAGGCUGAAAUCGGCAGGAAAAAAAAGACCACGACGGACAACAGGAACAGGAAUAGACCACAACGGAAAAAAUUGGCAGAAAAAAAAUUGACGCUGACGGACAGAAAUUCCAAAUGGAAGAAAAAAAUUGAUGCAGACAGACGGAAGAUAGAAGUCACUAGGCGGAAGUCACUUGGUCGACGCAGACGCAGACAGACGGAACCACAAGAAACGAUCAUGAUUUGAUGCAGACGGAUGCCUCCCCACGACGGGAAAAAAAUUUCCAGAAAAAAAAAGAGAACAAUCGAAGAAUUGAUCCGGAAGACAGGAACAAGAAUGAAGAAAUCACCAGGAGAUGAUGAUUGAUCGGCAAGAAGACGGAUCCGGCAGACGAUCGGCAGAAACACGAUUAUUUUUUUUGUCGUAAUUUUUUUUUAAAUGAUCCAGAAACCUCUUUGAAGACAAUCAACAACAAUGUCUCUGAUGCCACCUGAUAUAGGAGAAGAUCUGAAUUAAGGGGAAAAACGAUUGAAGGAGGUAGCAAGAACUUCUUCAAUCGGGGGAUGGGUAGAACUUGGAAUCCACCAAGAAUUCUAGGUUGAGAUCUAAAAUUUAGAAAAGGAAAUAAUAAAGCAAAGGAGAGAAAUAACGGUAAUACCUCGAUUUGAUAAUAAUUCAAUAGUUGCCAGUUGCUACCUCCCAUCCUUGGCCUAUUAUAUUUAUACUCACAUCAAUGGAAAUAGGCAACCCAUUUGAUGCGAGUGUAGGGCUGUUUAGGAGGAACGUGGGUUGGCUUGACCAAGGUCAAGCCAACUAGGGCCCACGUGAUUAUUCUCAAUAUCUUCUACUGCAUCAACUUCACUCUUUGUAUUUGUGUCAGGCUUAUUCUCUUGAAUCAUGAUUUCCAUUGAUGGUCGUGGUUAUGUCCUCCUCAUACUUUCAGUCUUCCAUGUGAUCCUCAUCCUCACUUGGGAGUGUAACCCAAUUAUUAUAACACACUAACGGAAUUAUUUUUGCAGGAUGUUGGGUAUGGCUCUCUGAGUAUGUGAAAGAGGAGAUGGUAAAUUUAAGAAAACUUUUUGGAAAAAGUGAUCUGAAUGAACUCUUCACAAUCAAAGAAUUAAUUCCGUCUUUCAAGUGGAAUCCACCAAGGAAAGACCUCAUAUCAGAUCAUCAAAUCACGAGUGGAAUCACUUAGGUCGAGAUAUAGGAGGAAGCCGGAGCAACUGAACACCCAAGAUCAUCAACUAGGAGUGGUCAAAGCAUGACAGUUUAACAUUAAAAAAAAACUCAAGCUCAAGUUCCUGAACCUGAAGAUCAUGAAACUCAAUCUAUACCCAGCAAAAGAGAAAACACAAUGCUCCCUAGUUUGAUGACCUUUGAGCUAUUUUGUAAUUGUAUUUUGCAUCAACUAUAUUCUAAAUAUUUUAUAUGAACUAUUUCUGACU
rnacentral:lncRNA from 1 species